CACGUAGGGUGCGAGCGUUGUCCGGAAUUAUUGGGCGUAAAGAGCUCGUAGGCGGUGUGUCGCGUCGGCCGUGAAAACCUGCAGCUUAACUGUGGGCUUGCGGUCGAUACGGGCAUCACUGGAGUUCGGCAGGGGAGACUGGAAUUCCUGGUGUAGCGGUGAAAUGCGCAGAUAUCAGGAGGAACACCGAUGGCGAAGGCAGGUCUCUGGGCAUUAACUGACGCUGAGGAGCGAAAGCGUGGGGAUCAAACAGG
rnacentral:rRNA from 1 species